UACGAAGGGGGCUAGCGUUGCUCGGAAUCACUGGGCGUAAAGCGCACGUAGGCGGCUUUUUAAGUCAGGGGUGAAAUCCUGGAGCUCAACUCCAGAACUGCCUUUGAUACUGAGGAGCUUGAGUCCGGGAGAGGUGAGUGGAACUGCGAGUGUAGAGGUGAAAUUCGUAGAUAUUCGCAAGAACACCAGUGGCGAAGGCGGCUCACUGGCCCGAUACUGACGCUGAGGCACGAAAGCGUGGGGAGCAAACAGG
rnacentral:rRNA from 1 species